AUUGCGGCGGUCUCUAAUUUGCUUGGUGCAGGCCGGGACUUUCACGGCGCCGCCGCCGCUCGACGGCCGGCUCAGCUUGAUAGAUGCGUUUGCGCGUCGUCCUCGGCGAGUUUAGGUCCCGCCCUGUAUCAAAUGAAUCGGAGGCCGCCCGGUAU
rnacentral:pre_miRNA from 1 species